CAACCCUCAAGCUUCAGCUUGGUAUUGGGCUUCGUCCGUUAAUGGACGUGCCUGGAACUCAUAGGCAGUAGCGCCCAGCUCCUAGCGUAGUCAUUUAUAUUCCGCUUUGGAGGUCUGAGUUCUACCCGCCGAACAACCAACCAUUUUUAUCAAG
rnacentral:misc_RNA from 1 species